rnacentral:tRNA from 1 species
GAGGGUAUAGCUCACCGUUAGAGCGCAUGCUUGUCGUGCGUGAGGUCCUGGGUUCAAUCCCCAGUACCUUCU